GCUGUUUACUGCUGAAUUGGAACAAAUGUCAAUCUGCAAAAAACCAAACAAACACUGAUUUACAUUUGUUCUAAUUCAGCAGUAAACAGCA